rnacentral:sRNA from 1 species
UAAUUAAAUGCUAUCAAAUAUCUCUGCGGUUUGAUGAUUAUAAUCGAAUUAUUAUAGUCAUGGAGAAAAUCAAUAUCAAAAAUGAUAAUUUUGUAGUAAUUAAAUGAUAUUAAAAUCUAGUGGCAAUCAUUGUAAAUAAGUCUUAACUACAGGAUUUAUCUCACAAAAUGACUGCAAAAAUGUAUAUGUAGAUAUC